UAACUCCCAAUACAAUAACUCCCAAUACAAUAACUCCCAAUCCAAUAACUCCCAAUACAAUAACUGCUAAUACAAUAACUCCCAAUACAAUAACUGCCAAUACAAUAACGUUUUUGAUAAUGUAAUAAUAAGAGCGUUUGCUUUGUCUAAGAGGAUUUAGGGGAGGGAGCACCUUCAGAUAUUUUAUGUUCUUUUUGGUCGGCUCGAAGUUUAUUCCUUUCGAUGUAUG